GUAUAUGCUCGCCCGGUCGGUUUCCUUCGGGAAUUAAUAGGGAAUUCGCCGCAGCUUGGCUGCGAACCGAAACUGCCCCCGCAACUGUAGACGGUGAGCCACGCCCUCCGCGCCACUGGGAUGUUAUCCCGGGAAGGCCGGGCGAGCGACGACCCGUCAGUCAGGAGACCUGCCGACAAUCCCAUUCACGA
rnacentral:ncRNA from 2 species